GCUGCCUUGUGGCUGGUUUCCAAUUUCAAAAUGCCGUUAUCCACUUCCCCAACGGCUCCUGCUCUUCCAUUCUCAUCUCCUUCUCAUUCAAAACCAAAGGGUUCUUCUCAGAGAUGGUUUUCGAUAAAGAAAGAAGUGACUGUCUGCAGUGGAAGAAUUAAUUUUAACAGGAAAUCAAGAAAUGGUGAUUUUGCAAUAAAUUCAGCAUCUAGAGACAGCAGUCCAUCGGUUGGAUUUGAUGUACAAUUUCCCAAGGAUUAUGCUGAACUUCUUCAACAAGCUAAAGAGGCAACUGAAUUAGCUGUGAAGGACAACAGGCAGCUCAUGGAAAUUGAAUUUCCUACUGCUGGAUUGGGAUCUGUGCCAGGUGAUGGUGAAGGGGGUAUAGAAAUGACCGAAAGUAUGGAACUAAUCCGUGAGUUCUGUGACCUCUUCAUAACUCCUGAGAAAGCCACAAGAACCAGAAUAUUCUUCCCAGAGGCUAAGGAAGUUCAAUUUGCAAGAAAUUCAGUUUUUGGGGGAGUCUCAUUUAAGUUGGAUUAUCUGACAAAGCCGUCAUUUUUUGAGGACUUUGGUUUUGUUGAAAAAGUUAAGAUGGCUGACCGAGUUAAGCCAGAAGAUGAGGUUUUCUUAGUUGCUUAUCCAUACUUUAAUGUCAGUGAAAUGCUUGUGGUCGAAGAACUGUACGAAGAGGCCGUAGUAAGCACCUCUCGGAAACUGAUCAUAUUUAAUGGAGAACUUGACCGGAUAAGAUCAGGAUAUUAUCCACCGUUCUUCUAUCCAAAGCUGGCUGCACUUAACAAGACUCUUUUGCCCAAAAUGGAGACUGUAUACUACAUUCACAAUUUUAAAGGACACAAAGGGGGAGUCCUAUUCAGGUGCUACCCUGGCCCAUGGAAAGUGCUUAGGAGAACAAGAAAGGGAUAUAUUUGCUUGCAUCAGCAGGAUUUGAUGCCAUCCCUCAAGGAAGUGGCAUUAGACAUCCUUCCAUCAGCUUAAUAUCUCCUUGUUAAACCAUUAGGUAGUUCUGGUUUCAGUGAACACAGAGGUGAUUCAGAACUAGAGCACCAUUUAGCUUUUAUGCAAGUUGUCAAUUGUCAUACAACAGGCACAAGCACAAUAUGGCUAUGUCUCCUCAAGAUAUUUCUUCACAACUAGUUAGAUCGGCAGUUGAUUCUGCUGGAAAUAACAAUGAGGAGGAGCUAGAAUAUUCUAUUGGAAAUGAAGAACUAGGAAGUGAAGAAGAGCGGUUAGAAUGUGAUACACAAGCCCCGGCUCAAACUUCGAAUCAAGAGGUUGGUCAAGGUGAUGAUCUAGAUAAUUUUAGAAGGAGAUUUUAUUACCUAUACCUUGAGACUCUUCAUGUUUUUAGGUAAUCUAUAUUGGUUGCUGGAGGACUUAAUCUCGAGUGAUUUCAAACUAUUUGUUCCUUGUUUUUGAGUUUGUUUGAGGUGUUGGACCUUUGAAUUGAAAAAUUGUGAAACAAUUAUGUA